rnacentral:rRNA from 1 species
GCUUGUCUCAAAGAUUAAGCCAUGCAUGUCUAAGUAUAAACUAUUUUAUACUGUGAAACUGCGAAUGGCUCAUUAAAUCAGUUAUAGUUUAUUUGAUGGUACCUUACUACUCGGAUAACCGUAGUAAUUCUAGAGCUAAUACAUGCGAAAAGACGCGACUCACGAAGCGUUGUAUUUAUUAGAUACAAAACCAAUGCGGGGCAACCCGGAUUCUGGUGAUUCAUAAUAACUUUCGGAUCGAUCUUCGGAUCGAUGCAUCAUUCAAGUUUCUGCCCUAUCAGCUUUGGAUGGUAGGGUAUUGGCCUACCAUGGCUUUAACGGGUAACGGAGAAUUAGGGUUCGAUUCCGGAGAGGGAGCCUGAGAAAUGGCUACCACAUCCAAGGAAGGCAGCAGG